rnacentral:tRNA from 1 species
UGCGAGCUGGUGCAAUCGGCAGCACACCCGUCUCUGGAACGGGCGAUGGAGGUUCGAGUCCUCCGCUCGCAG